CCUCUCAACAUCGCGAUAACUCUCGCGAGACCGCUGGGAAGAGUUGUGCGCAGGCGCAGCCCCGCCUUCUUGUCGAGGCAGGCCGCGUGGCCGGCAGUCAUGGCGGCUCCUUGCUGGCCCGACCGGGACAGGGAGUCUGGAGCCUCUGGCUGUGGGUUUUCUUUGCGUCGCAGACCUGCAGGUUGAAGCUUAAAAGUAGCGAAUGGGGAGCCCUGUGAAAUGGAUGCAGCAGUCUCAGCCUUGGUUUCUGAGGCUGGAAAAGGAUCCUGCUUCUGUAGGACCUGCUUCUGCAGAUGCCAGUAGGAGUCUACUGGGGGUCUACUGCCCUGGGCCCAAAGAGGAGACUGACUUCUGUAUAUGUCUGCAGUGUGUGAGACAACUGAACUACUUUGCCUGAGGUUGGAGUCCCCUCAUUACUGAUCCAUCAAGUGACUCUCUUUGGUCUUACACGUUCUCCCCCAGUGAGUGAUGCCAGCUGGAGCAGCACGGCCUCUGUUGCUGUUAAUGCCUAGAAAAUAAUCCCCCAAAAGGAGAAUAAGAAGUCUUUGGGCUUUCUCUUCAAAAAGGAGCCAAAGGCUACUUGAGACCAUCCUGAAUGCCACAGUUGAGCUGAUCUGGGGGUAACUUGCGUGUGGGCAAGAAGACCGUGAUUGUAAACUGAAUGCUAUGAACAUGUACGUGCUCUGUUUGGGAGCCUGCGAGGAAGCAGGUGCUCAGCCCAGGAGGAGGUUUCUCCGAGUGGAUUUCCUGUGAAGUUAAUGUUUGUCACUCAGGCUUAAGUUUUGAAGCACAAAUAAACAUUUUUAAAAAUGGA